rnacentral:tRNA from 1 species
CGGGAAGUAGCGCAGCCUGGUUAGCGCAACUGCUUUGGGAGCAGUGGGUCGGAGGUUCGAAUCCUCUCUUCCCGACCA